CCUACGGGAGGCUGCAGUGAGGAAUAUUGGUCAAUGGACGAGAGUCUGAACCAGCCAAGUAGCGUGAAGGAUGAAUGCCCUACGGGUUGUAAACUUCUUUUAUAUGGGAAUAAAACGUUCCACUUGUGGGAGUUUGCAUGUCCCAUAUGAAUAAGGCUCGGCUAACUCCGUUCCAGCAGCCGCGGUAAUACGGAGGAUCCGAGCGUUAUCCGGAUUUAUUGGGUUUAAAGGGAGCGUAGGUGGGUUGUUAAGUCAGUUGUGAAAGUUCGCGGCUCAACCGCUGAAUUGCAGUUGAAACUGGCAGUCGUGAGUACAGGAGAGGUGGGCGGAAUUCGUGGUGUAGCGGUGAAAUGCUUAGAUAUCACGAGGAACACCGAUGGCGAAGGCAGCUCACUGGACUGCGACUGACACUGAGGCUCGAAGGUGUGGGUAUCAAACAGGAUUAGAUACCCCAGUAGUC
rnacentral:rRNA from 1 species